GAUGAACGCUAGCGAUAGGCCUAACACAUGCAAGUCGAGGGGCAUCACGGAGUAGCAAUACUUUGGUGGCGACCGGCGCACGGGUGAGUAACGCGUAUGCAAUCUACCUACAACAGGGGGAUAACCCGGAGAAAUCCGGACUAAUACCGCAUAACACAGGGGUCCCGCAUGGGAAUAUUUGUUAAAGAUUUAUCGGUUGUAGAUGAGCAUGCGUUCCAUUAGGUAGUUGGUGAGGUAACGGCCCACCAAGCCUGCGAUGGAUAGGGGAACUGGGAGGUUUGUCCCCCACACUGGAACUGAGACACGGACCAGACUCCUACGGGAGGCAGCAGUGGGGAAUAUUGGUCAAUGGGCGAGAGCCUGAACCAGCCAAAUCGCGUGAAGGAAGACUGCCUUAUGGGUUGUAAACUUCUUUUGUACAGGGAUAAAAAGAGGGACGUGUCCUUCAUUGCUUGUACUGUACGAAUAAGCAUCGGCUAACUCCGUGCCAGCAGCCGCCGUAA
rnacentral:rRNA from 1 species